rnacentral:misc_RNA from 1 species
CAUUUGUUUCCAGGAACCUUCUUGCAAGCUUGCUCAAGUCUGUGUACAGUUGUGAAUCAGAUCGACUUCCAAUUCAGAAACAAAGAAAUGCAAACAGAGGAAGGUGCUUUAGUUAACGAUAUCUGGAGCUGCACUCCCCCCUCAUAACAAGAAAUGGGUGAUUGCAACACUGCCUUAAUCUAAGUAAAGUAAUACCUCAACAAUAGAUGCAUAGUUGUGAAGAACCUUCCCUAGUGCUACAAACUGGUCAAACUGGACCUGUUUAUGUUGCAUAAACAAUUGUAAUAUGCGUUAUUGAUACAAUUGACUGUAUAUCAAAG